AAAUUGAGGGGGAUUCUACAAAAUACACGACCCGCACUCUUCUAAGGUGUCAAGGUCAUGAAAAACAAGACUGGAAAACCAACACAGACUGGAGGAGACUAAGAAGACCUGACAACUAAAUGCCAUGUGGGACCCUGGAGGGGACCCGGGAACAGUAGUAGAAGAGCUGGUGACAUCUGAAUGAAGUCUGUAAUUUGGGUAACAGUACUGUACCAAUGUUAAUUUCCCUGCUCUGCCAAUGCGAUGAGGGAACAGAAGAGAUGAUGGCAAUGCACCUUGCAGGUGCAGUUUCCUUGGGGACCCCUGAACAAGGAGGUUGUUAUCUGGCCAUCUUCAUUCCCACCUUGUGGGAACUGGGUCCAGGGAACCAACACAAAUAAGCUGACAACUUGGCUACUGCUUUUGCUGUGCCUCCAGUUUGCUCAUAUCCUCAAUACAGCAGGACAUCCAGGACUGACCACGUAUAUCAGGGGUGACUCCAACAGCACAGAGAACAGCCAACGGGUUCAGGGAACGGCUUCACAGGUUUGAGACACCAUAACUAGGACAAAGACCAACUAAAGACCAUGGACCCAAAUUGUGGAUGGAGGGAUUUAAGAUGAACUUCCAACCAUUUGGAUGAGCUCCAGGAGGUCAUCUCUAUCUCCCUGGAAAUGCCCAUGGUUUGUAUAUUGUUUUGAGAGACCAAUUUCAAGAGAAGCUGGGCCUGUUGUCCAUCAAAGCCCCACGGUGCUUUAUCUUCAUUCUGAGCUGGCUGCUCGUCAGACGCAGGGCAGGCUGCUGCCAAGAGAGCCCGCUGCCGAGGACCUCCGUCUAUCACUGCCUGGGGGACACGCUGCCUUGGGAUUGUUCAAACUCCAGGGAAAGGACAGUUAUCCACACCCACCCACUGUGCUCCUUGGAGAAGAUCUGAGCUCUUCUGGUUGGAAUUCUUGGGUCUUUGGGAUUCUCAACAUUUCCAGAGAUGAGGAGGCUAUAGGAAUACUUACAACCAUUUUACAGCUUAGGGAAACAGAGUCAAGUGCCGUAAAAUGGACACACACAAAACACUCUCGGGAGCUGGGUCCCUAAGUUACACAGAGAACCUGGCUUCCCUGGUCUUAGCAGAUCUCACAGCCCCUUCACCCCGGCCUGUGACACACACAGCCCUCCAGACCUUCCUCCACCUGCACCACUAGGUUUAUGCUAGAAGGUUCCCAGUGUGCCCACUUCUAAGCAGUCUUUGCUGAGGGGGAUGAAGAAAAGGGGACCUGCCAAGAGGCCACUGAGGUGGAGGAGUCCUCGGAGACUAAAGCAGCAGAAGUUUGGAGAACCUCUUCAAAAGAGACAGGAGAAGCAAGGCUGCGUGCGAGUCAGGAAGAACAGGCAUGGUUUAAAUCUUUUUUCUUGGAGAGUAAACAUUGUCACAUUUCUGCCUCUGCUGCUUCAGAGGAUGCGCCUCUCUGGACAGCCCUUCAGGCAUCAGCCUGUUGGCAGCCGCGCGUCCUGGAAUACGGGGUCGCUGGACAUAAAUCCAUCUGUACUGGCCGGGGCUGACAGCGACUGUCAGUCCCCAGGACAGGGUCACCACCUUUCUCUCCCUUCUUCUCUCUCCUCUUCCCACUGUUUCAAGGACAGCAGAGUCUUAUGGAUUUUUCUUCUCCUGUCUUGAAUGUGCAAAGGUCCAGGGGACCACAGCAAUGCCACCUUCUGGUGUCAAGAGGGAGGUGGAGGCAGGCACUGAAUAAGGUCCCAGGCGCUCCUUGCCCUGGAAUUUUGAUUCUUCAAAGGGCAUCAGAAUGCGGUGACCAGCAGCACACAGCAACCAGUCUCUCAGCGGGGCUUUAGGCAUGGUCACUUGGGCUUGCCCAGGGAACCUCAUCCCGGAGGAUCUUCCAGGAAGCCUGAGGUCUCCUACUAAUGGAACUGUGACUGGCUCACCCAGAGGGGGUCAGGUUGGGACCUUGGAGUGGGCACUAGAUGAAGCAAAUGGGAUUGACUCUAAUAAAAACAUGGAAG
ensembl:lncRNA FLJ40288 Putative uncharacterized protein FLJ40288